GGGAACGGAUGUUCCUUAACUGUAUCGUCCCGAAAUUGGGUUUUUUCCUUGGGUAAAGUGGAUUUUUAUUGGCAAUAAACUUGUGUUCCUUAAAAGGGGAUGUUAAGAUGUAACGUUCUUAUGGGAAAUACCGUUUUUAUUAAGUUUAGUUGACCAACAUCCAAUAGUCCGGCACGCAAAAAAUCAAUAGGAAAACACCACCACAACACGUGAGUAAAGAAAAAAAAAACAAAAGAACGUUCCUGGAACACCCGGAAUUUAUUUACUCCUGUACGAAUGAUUUUUCCGGAUAUUUUCGCUGGAAAACUCCCGAAAACGUACAGGACCGACCGCCGGAAAAUUUUCGACUGAUGGAUUUUCUUUUAAGCACGUUUCUUCUCGGAUAGGCACAGAUUUUACGGACAUGCGCGCUCACCGGCAUUUUACUGUACACAGUUGUACGUUUUUGGGGCUAAUAAUUAUGAAGGUAUUCGGUUCGAUAUAUUGGACUGGAGGGUCAAAGGUUAAAGGAUUGACGUGUGGAAAAUUGUACAAGGGUUGUUUCAUUAUUUGAUCGUCAUUAAAGAAACCCCUACACAGUGAAAGCAACAUCUGUGUUCCAACCCCGCGUCCAAAAAAGGGUAAAACAUCUCUAAAGUAUUCCGAAAACGUUCGGGGAACAUGCGACAAUAGCCACGUGACCUUUUGUAUAAAUAUGAACGAUAUUCUUAGCACGUUUCCGGUGAAAUUCGGCCUGAAACACUUGUGGUCCUUUAUAUUAUUUGUUAUAAAAAAAAUACAAGUUUUAUAUUAA